AAAUUGAAGAGUUUGAUCAUGGCUCAGAUUGAACGCUGGCGGCAGGCCUAACACAUGCAAGUCGAACGGUAACAGGAAUCAGCUUGCUGAUUCGCUGACGAGUGGCGGACGGGUGAGUAAUGUCUGGGAAACUGCCUGAUGGAGGGGGAUAACUACUGGAAACGGUAGCUAAUACCGCAUAAUGUCGCAAGACCAAAGAGGGGGACCUUCGGGCCUCUUGCCAUCGGAUGUGCCCAGAUGGGAUUAGCUAGUAGGUGGGGUAACGGCUCACCUAGGCGACGAUCCCUAGCUGGUCUGAGAGGAUGACCAGCCACACUGGAACUGAGACACGGUCCAGACUCCUACGGGAGGCAGCAGUGGGGAAUAUUGCACAAUGGGCGCAAGCCUGAUGCAGCCAUGCCGCGUGUAUGAAGAAGGCCUUCGGGUUGUAAAGUACUUUCAGCGGGGAGGAAGGGAGUAAAGUUAAUACCUUUGCUCAUUGACGUUACCCGCAGAAGAAGCACCGGCUAACUCCGUGCCAGCAGCCGCGGUAAUACGGAGGGUGCAAGCGUUAAUCGGAAUUACUGGGCGUAAAGCGCACGCAGGCGGUUUGUUAAGUCAGAUGUGAAAUCCCCGGCUCAACACGAACUGCAUCUGAUACUGGCAAGCUUGAGUCUCGUAGAGGGGUAGAAUUCCGGUGUAGCGGUGAAAUGCGUAGAGAUCUGGAGGAAUACCGGUGGCGAAGGCGGCCCCCUGGACGAAGACUGACGCUCAGGUGCGAAAGCGUGGGGAGCAAACAGGAUUAGAUACCCUGGUAGUCCACGCCGUAAACGAUGUCGACUUGGAGGUUGUGCCCUUGAGGCGUGGCUUCCGGAGCUAACGCGUUAAGUCGACCGCCUGGGGAGUACGGCCGCAAGGUUAAAACUCAAAUGAAUUGACGGGGGCCCGCACAAGCGGUGGAGCAUGUGGUUUAAUUCGAUGCAACGCGAAGAACCUUACCUGGUCUUGACAUCCACGGAAGUUUUCAGAGAUGAGAAUGUGCCUUCGGGAACCGUGAGACAGGUGCUGCAUGGCUGUCGUCAGCUCGUGUUGUGAAAUGUUGGGUUAAGUCCCGCAACGAGCGCAACCCUUAUCCUUUGUUGCCAGCGGUCCGGCCGGGAACUCAAAGGAGACUGCCAGUGAUAAACUGGAGGAAGGUGGGGAUGACGUCAAGUCAUCAUGGCCCUUACGACCGUGGCUACACACGUGCUACAAUGGCGCAUACAAAGAGAAGCGACCUCGCGAGAGCAAGCGGACCUCAUAAAGUGCGUCGUAGUCCGGAUUGGAGUCUGCAACUCGACUCCAUGAAGUCGGAAUCGCUAGUAAUCGUGGAUCAGAAUGCCACGGUGAAUACGUUCCCGGGCCUUGUACACACCGCCCGUCACACCAUGGGAGUGGGUUGCAAAAGAAGUAGGUAGCUUAACCUUCGGGAGGGCGCUUACCACUUUGUGAUUCAUGACUGGGGUGAAGUCGUAACAAGGUAACCGUAGGGGAACCUGCGGUUGGAUCACCUCCUUACCUUAAAGAA
rnacentral:rRNA from 1 species